GAUGAACGCUGGCGGCGUGCCUAAUACAUGCAAGUCGAGCGAACGGACGAGAAGCUUGCUUCUCUGAUGUUAGCGGCGGACGGGUGAGUAACACGUGGAUAACCUACCUAUAAGACUGGGAUAACUUCGGGAAACCGGAGCUAAUACCGGAUAAUAUUUUGAACCGCAUGGUUCAAAAGUGAAAGACGGUCUUGCUGUCACUUAUAGAUGGAUCCGCGCUGCAUUAGCUAGUUGGUAAGGUAACGGCUUACCAAGGCAACGAUGCAUAGCCGACCUGAGAGGGUGAUCGGCCACACUGGAACUGAGACACGGUCUAGACUCCUACGGGAGGCAGCAGUAGGGAAUCCUCCGCAAUGGGCGAAAGCCUGACGGAGCAACGCCGCGUGAGUGAUGAAGGUCUUCGGAUCGUAAAACUCUGUUAUUAGGGAAGAACAUAUGUGUAAGUAACUGUGCACAUCUUGACGGUACCUAAUCAGAAAGCCACGGCUAACUACGUGCCAGCAGCCGCGGUAAUACGUAGGUGGCAAGCGUUAUCCGGAAUUAUUGGGCGUAAAGCGCGCGUAGGCGGUUUUUUAAGUCUGAUGUGAAAGCCCACGGCUCAACCGUGGAGGGUCAUUGGAAACUGGAAAACUUGAGUGCAGAAGAGGAAAGUGGAAUUCCAUGUGUAGCGGUGAAAUGCGCAGAGAUAUGGAGGAACACCAGUGGCGAAGGCGACUUUCUGGUCUGUAACUGACGCUGAUGUGCGAAAGCGUGGGGAUCAAACAGGAUUAGAUACCCUGGUAGUCCACGCCGUAAACGAUGAGUGCUAAGUGUUAGGGGGUUUCCGCCCCUUAGUGCUGCAGCUAACGCAUUAAGCACUCCGCCUGGGGAGUACGACCGCAAGGUUGAAACUCAAAGGAAUUGACGGGGACCCGCACAAGCGGUGGAGCAUGUGGUUUAAUUCGAAGCAACGCGAAGAACCUUACCAAAUCUUGACAUCCUUUGACAACUCUAGAGAUAGAGCUUUCCCCUUCGGGGGACAAAGUGACAGGUGGUGCAUGGUUGUCGUCAGCUCGUGUCGUGAGAUGUUGGGUUAAGUCCCGCAACGAGCGCAACCCUUAAGCUUAGUUGCCAUCAUUAAGUUGGGCACUCUAAGUUGACUGCCGGUGACAAACCGGAGGAAGGUGGGGAUGACGUCAAAUCAUCAUGCCCCUUAUGAUUUGGGCUACACACGUGCUACAAUGGACAAUACAAAGGGCAGCGAAACCGCGAGGUCAAGCAAAUCCCAUAAAGUUGUUCUCAGUUCGGAUUGUAGUCUGCAACUCGACUACAUGAAGCUGGAAUCGCUAGUAAUCGUAGAUCAGCAUGCUACGGUGAAUACGUUCCCGGGUCU
rnacentral:rRNA from 1 species